CCGGCUGCCACAGGUUUGAACACACCUGGUACCGCCAACGGAGACGUGCCCCGGCUCCGGAACGCCCCCUUUACGCACAGCGACAGCGGCGACGCAGCAGCGUCCUCCAGCCGCCUCGUGCGAGCUCCAUCCUCCGAUCUACUCCUGCGCGUGUCACGGACCCAGAGGAACACGUCUCACCAUUAGCGUAGUGCUGCGGGGGAGUGUGGCUGCUCGACCUUUUGUCAUGUGACGUGAGGAAGAGGGACGUGUCCUGGUUGCUGAUGAG